GCGAGUGAAAAUGAGUUUUAACGUGUGAUUGUAAAUGUUUCAUACUUAAAUUUUAUCAAUACGAUGUUCUGGAGUUUUCCUGUUUAUUACGAGGAUUACUUUGGCCUUCAUAUACUCGCGCAUUGGUCUCACAGACCGACAAAUCAGAAAUACGGACAGUAUCCGUCUACCCGUAGUGGAGCAGCGUGGAGGAUUAAGUUCAGGUCCUUUUUCUACAUGGAGAAAGAGCCCUAUGCCCAGCAGUGUCAUGUUACAGGCUGAAACGAGCAGAGGGUUAUUCAACAGACGAAGUUCGUCAGAUGAAGAGAUCUUGCAUACCUUUGCAAACUGCUAUGUCGGUAGAGAUACAACAACUAGGUGGAAGAGAUAGUUAAUCUUCUAUUGUUAGAACAAGGUCAUAGAAAUGUAUGCUACGAAAGGGG
rnacentral:misc_RNA from 1 species